GCUACGGGAGGCAGCAGUAGGGAAUAUUGCACAAUGGGCGAAAGCCUGAUGGAGCAACGCCGCGUGGGUGAAGAAGGUCUUCGGAUCGUAAAACCCUGUUGUUAGAGAAGAAAGUGCGUGAGAGUAACUGUUCACGUUUCGACGGUAUCUAACCAGAAAGCCACGGCUAACUACGUGCCAGCAGCUGCGGUAAUACGUAGGUGGCAAGCGUUAUCCGGAUUUAUUGGGCGUAAAGGGAACGCAGGCGGUCUGUUAAGUCUGAUGUGAAAGCCUUCGGCUUAACCGGAGUAGUGCAUUGGAGACUGGGAGACUUGAGUGCAGGAGAGGCAAGUGGAACUCCUUGUGUAGCGGUGAAAUGCGUAGAUAUAUGGAAGAACACCGGUGGCGAAGGCGGCUCUCUGGUCUGUAACUGACGCUGAGGUUCGAAAGCGUGGGUAGCAAACAGGAUUAGAUACCCGUGUAGUC
rnacentral:rRNA from 1 species